rnacentral:rRNA from 1 species
UACGUAGGGUGCGAGCGUUGUCCGGAAUUACUGGGCGUAAAGAGCUCGUAGGUGGUUUGUCGCGUUGUCCGUGAAAACUCACAACUCAAUUGUGGGCGUGCGGGCGAUACGGGCAGACUGGAGUACUGCAGGGGAGACUGGAAUUCCUGGUGUAGCGGUGGAAUGCGCAGAUAUCAGGAGGAACACCGGUGGCGAAAGCGGUUCACUGGCCCGACACUGACACUGAGGUGCGAAAGCUAGGGUAGCAAACGGG